GCCUCCUUGGCUCAGUGGCUAGAGCGUGUCUUUCCUAUGACGCUUGUGGGUUCGACCCCCCAAAGCUAGGAGCAGGACGAGGUCGUGGGUUCGACCCCCGCAGGAGGUU